AGUGAACGCUGGCGGCAGGCCUAACACAUGCAAGUCGAACGGUAGCACAGAGAGCUUGCUCUCGGGUGACGAGUGGCGGACGGGUGAGUAAUGUCUGGGAAACUGCCCGAUGGAGGGGGAUAACUACUGGAAACGGUAGCUAAUACCGCAUAACGUCGCAAGACCAAAGUGGGGGACCUCCGGGCCUCACACCAUCGGAUGUGCCCAGAUGGGAUUAGCUAGUAGGUGGGGUAAUGGCUCACCUAGGCGACGAUCCCUAGCUGGUCUGAGAGGAUGACCAGCCACACUGGAACUGGGACACGGUCCAGACUCCUACGGGAGGCAGCAGUGGGGAAUAUUGCACAAUGGGCGCAAGCCUGAUGCAGCCAUGCCGCGUGUAUGAAGAAGGCCUUCGGGUUGUAAAGUACUUUCAGCGGGGAGGAAGGCGGUGAAGUUAAUAACUUCACCGAUUGACGUUACCCGCAGAAGAAGCACCGGCUAACUCCGUGCCAGCCGCCGCGGUAA
rnacentral:rRNA from 1 species